CUGCUGCCUUCCGUAGGAGUUUGGGCCGUGUCUCAGUCCCAAUGUGGCCGAUCAACCUCUCAGUUCGGCUACGCAUCAUUGUCUUGGUAAGCCUUUACCCCACCAACUAGCUAAUGCGCCGCGGGCCCAUCCAAAAGCGGUAGCAUAGCCACCUUUUACAUAGUUACCAUGCGGUAACUAUGGUUAUGCGGUAUUAGCACCUGUUUCCAAGUGUUAUCCCCCUCUUUUGGGCAGGUUGCCCACGUGUUACUCACCCGUUCGCCA
rnacentral:rRNA from 1 species